GAAUCUUGCUCUGUCGCCAGGCUGAAGCGCAGUGGCAAAAUCUCAGAUCACUGCAAUCUCCGCCUCCUGGGUUCAAGCAAUUCUCCCUGCUUCAGCUUCCCAAGUAGUUGGGACUACAGGAAUCUCCUUCAUGAUCUUAUUCAGAAUUAAAAUGGAAUAUGAAGAAAUUUUUCUUCUCCAAAUCCUGCCAGUGUCAACACCAUUCUACUCCAAAGAACUUCCAGUACAAUGUUGAACAGCAGUAGUGAAAGUGGACAACCUUGUCUCAUUCCUGAUCUUAAGGAGGAAGCUUUCAUCUCUCACCACUGAAUAUGAUGUUAGCUGUGAGUACAAACCACAUUAAUUUUAUGCUACACAGGAAAGCCACUUAGGGCUUCUGUUGCAAAUCAGAUCUGUUCCUAAAAGUAGUGCCACUAUAGACAAUGAGGUAAAUUUUCUGGUUAAAGAAAACUUCUAGGGUUCUGGUAAGAUUCCAUUUCUUAGACUGUACUUCAAAGUAUACAGACCGGUGGCUCAAGCCUGUAAUCCCAGCACUUUGGGAGGCCAAGGCGGGUGGAUCACGAGGUCGGGAGAUCAAGACCACCCUGGUCAACAUGGUGAAACGCUGUCUCUACUGAAAAUACAAAAAAAUUAGCCGGGCAUGGUGGCGUGUGCCUGUAAUCCCAGCUACUCAGGAGGCUGAGGCAGGAGAAUUGCCUGAACCCAGGAGGCGGAGGUUGCGGUGAGCGAAGAUCACACCAUUGCACUCCAGCCUGGGUAACAAGAGCGAAACUCUGUCUAAAAAAAAAGUAUACAGA